CAGGUUCUAAAUUCUUAGCCUGAUUUAAAACUUGUUUGAAAUCAGACUAAGAAUUUAAGACCCGCCCGACAUGAGCAAGGAGUGCUGCGAAGCGGCACGGAUUGCGAAUGGCGGGCAGGAUUGUGAGAGUGCGAAGCACGGAACAAUCCGUAAUAU
rnacentral:sRNA from 1 species